CUUCAGUCUGUGAUCUGCCUCCUAACUCCCUUCUUCGCUCACCCUCCCUUCUUGCAUGUGUGGAGCUGCCCCUCCUAAGCCUCUUUCCCCUCUCUCUGCUUCCGCCUUCCUCCUAAUGGAGUCCCUUUGGUCCAGCCAUGAAUCUAGGCAGGGAAAGGUGGCCAUCGUCACUCCCGGGGAGGCGGGAGACCUCUGGGCGGGUUUUGCCACAGCCAUCUGCAGCUGUGUUCCUAUAACUCGCCCCUCCACUUCGGGAUGGGCACCAGACUCACCGUGACAGAGGACCUGACAAAGGUGAAACCACCCAAGGUCACUGUCUUCGAACCAUCAAAAGCAGAGAUCAGCCGGACACAAAAGGCCACUCUCGUGUGCCUGGCUACAGGCUUCUACCCCGACCUCGUGGAGCUGAGCUGGUGGGUGAAUGGGAAAGAGGCCAAGAGCGGGGUCAGCACGGACCCUGAGCCCUACAAGGAGCACCCCGACCAGAAGGACUCCAGCUACUGUCUCAGCAGCCGGCUGAGGGUCUCUGCCUCCUUCUGGCACAACACCCGCAACCACUUCCGCUGCCAAGUCCAGUUCUACGGGAUCGAUGAGGAGGACAAGGCCAACUGGAAGAACAACGGCUCCAUACCAGUCACCCAGAAUGUCAGUGCCGAGGUCCAGGGCAGAGCAGUGUCCUAUCAGCAAGGGGUCCUGUCUGCCACCAUCCUGUAUGAGAUCCUGCUGGGGAAGGCCACCCUGUAUGCAGUGCUGGUCAGCGCCCUGGUGCUGAUGGCCAUGGUCAAGAGAAAGGAUUCCUGAAGCCAGCUCAGAGGUGGAGCCAGGAACUUCCAGCCAACGGGGGUUCUACUUUUUCCAUUCCUAGCCAGUGCUUCUCAAGAGCUGUUCUCCUCUCUCUGCUCAUCCCUGAUAUCUAUCCCCUAUGAGCUUGCACAACUGCACACUCACGACCGCACUCUCUCUAACCCCAAAGGGACCCUGCUGUGCCUAACUUGACUGAACCAAUAAAAAUGGCCUGUUCUGGCUUGA